rnacentral:rRNA from 1 species
AGCUCCAAUAGCGUAUAUUAAAGUUGUUGCAGUUAAAAAGCUCGUAGUUGAAUUUCGGGAUUCGUCCAUUGGUCAGGCUUAACUGUCUGUACUGGUGUGUCGGAUUUCUACCUUCUGAAGAACCUUUAUGCCAUUAAUUUGGUGUGUUGGGGAAUCAGGACUGUUACUUUGAAAAAACUAGAGUGUUUAAAGCAGGCUAACGCUUGAAUACAUUAGCAUGGAAUAAUGAAAUAGGACGGUACGGUUCUAUUU